GAUGAACGCUAGCUACAGGCUUAACACAUGCAAGUCGAGGGGAAACGACAUCGAAAGCUUGCUUUUGAUGGGCGUCGACCGGCGCACGGGUGAGUAACGCGUAUCCAACCUGCCCACCACUUGGGGAUAACCUUGCGAAAGUAAGACUAAUACCCAAUGAUAUCUCUAGAAGACAUCUGAAAGGGAGUAAAGAUUUAUCGGUGAUGGAUGGGGAGGCGUCUGAUUAGCUUGUUGGCGGGGUAACGGCCCACCAAGGCUACGAUCAGUAGGGGUUCUGAGAGGAAGGUCCCCCACAUUGGAACUGAGACACGGUCCAAACUCCUACGGGAGGCAGCAGUGAGGAAUAUUGGUCAAUGGACGAGAGUCUGAACCAGCCAAGUAGCGUGCAGGAUGACGGCCCUAUGGGUUGUAAACUGCUUUUAUAAGGGAAUAAAGUGAGUCUCGUGAGACUUUUUGCAUGUACCUUAUGAAUAAGGACCGGCUAAUUCCGUGCCAGCCGCCGCCGUAA
rnacentral:rRNA from 1 species